rnacentral:rRNA from 1 species
UACAGGGGGGGCAAGCGUUGUUCGGAAUUACUGGGCGUAAAGGGCGCGUAGGCGGCUUGACAAGUCACUUGUGAAAUCUCUGGGCUUAACCCAGAACGGCCAAGUGAAACUGUCGAGCUAGAGUGUAGAAGGGGCAAUCGGAAUUCUUGGUGUAGCGGUGAAAUGCGUAGAUAUCAAGAGGAACACCUGAGGUGAAGACGGGUUGCUGGUCUAACACUGACGCUGAGGCGCGAAAGCCAGGGGAGCAAACGGG